rnacentral:rRNA from 1 species
AGUGGAUGGGGAGCAACCUAGUCGUGCGUGUGUAAAGGUAGUGCCAAGAAAAGCGGUGAUCAUGAUGAAAAUCAAUUCCCGGUACCCGAAACCGACACGGGUGGGCAAGUAGAGAAUACUAAGGGGCGCGAGGUAACUCUCUCCAAGGAACUCGGCAAAAUGACCCCGUAACUUAGGGAGAAGGGGUGCCACCGAGAGGUGGUCGCAGUGAAGAGGCCCAGGCGACUGUUUAGCAAAAACAUAGGUCUCUGCAAACUCGAAAGAGGAGGUAUAGGGGCUGACGCCUGCCCAGUGCCGGAAGGUUAAAGAAGUUGGUCAGUCUUAGGAUGAAGCUAGCGACUGAAGCCCCGGUGAACGGCGGCCGUAACUAUAACGGUCCUAAGGUAGCGAAAUUCCUUGUCGGGUAAGUUCCGACCCGCACGAAAGGCGUAACGAUCUGGGCGCUGUCUCGGAGAGAGGCUCGGCGAAAUAGGAUUGUCUGUGAAGAUACGGACUACCUGCAUUUGGACAGAAAGACCCUAUGAAGCUUUACUAUAGCUUGGAAUUGUGUUCGGGCUUCCUGUGCGCAGGAUAGGUGGGAGGCGUAGAAGGUAUUCUUGUGGGGAUACUGGAGCCAACGGUGAGAUACCACUCUCAGGAGGCUAGAAUUCUAGCUUAAUUAAGGACAGUUUCAGGUGGGUAGUUUGACUGGGGCGGUCGCCUCCAAAAAGGUAACGGAGGCGUACAAAGGUUCCCUCAGACUGGUUGGAAAUCAGUCGAAGAGUGCAAAGGCAGAAGGGAGCUUGACUGCGAGAAGUACAGUUCGAGCAGGGUGGAAACACGGUCUUAGUGAUCCGACGGUGCUGUGUGGAAGGGCCGUCGCUCAACGGAUAAAAGUUACUCUAGGAUAACAGGCUGAUCUCCCCCAAGAGUUCACAUCGACGGGGAGGUUUGGCGCCUCGGUGUCGGCUCAUCGCAACCUGGGGCGGAAGUACGUCCCAAGGGUUGGGCUGUUCGCCCAUUAAAGCGGUACGUGAGCUGGGUUCAGAACGUCGUGAGACAGUUCGGUCCAUAUCCGAUGUAGGCGUGAGAAUAUUGAGAGGAGCCUUCCUUAGUACGAGAGGACCGGGAAGGACGCACCGCUGGUGUACCUGUUAUGAUGCCAAUUGUAAACGCAGGGUAGCCAAGUGCGGAGAGGAUAACCGCUGAAAGCAUCUAAGUGGGAAGCCCACCUCAAGAUGAGUAUUCUGGUGUAAGGUCACGGGAAGACGACCCGUAAAUAGGCACGAGGUGGAAGUGCAGAGAUGUAUGAAGCCGAAGUGUACUAAUAGACCGUCGGCUUGAUC